rnacentral:lncRNA from 1 species
GAUAUUCCAUAAAUGAGCUCUCAUAGACUUAUCCUCUAACUUAUCCGUCAUACCAUAUCUCAUAUGGUGUAAUGGAACCAACUUUAGAUGGAAUCUAAUUUAAAUUUUAGAAAUUAAAAUUUAUCUCUAAAAAAAUAAAGAUUAAAUCAGUGAAGUUUAUAAUCGAUCAGACCAUAUCUCAUAUAGUGCCAUUCCUCCUCAUAGAUAUCCCAUUGAGCUGAGAUGUACUAAGAGAAUUUCAUUAUGAAACUAUGCCCUUUUCUAAAGAUAAUCGUGAAAUUUUUUAUUUGGUAUUGCAUCCUCGAUC